AUGUGGUUUAAUUCGAAGCAACGCGAAGAACCUUACCAAAUCUUGACAUCCUUUGACAACUCUAGAGAUAGAGCCUUCCCCUUCGGGGGACAAAGUGACAGGUGGUGCAUGGUUGUCGUCAGCUCGUGUCGUGAGAUGUUGGGUUAAGUCCCGCAACGAGCGCAACCCUUAAGCUUAGUUGCCAUCAUUAAGUUGGGCACUCUAAGUUGACUGCCGGUGACAAACCGGAGGAAGGUGGGGAUGACGUCAAAUCAUCAUGCCCCUUAUGAUUUGGGCUACACACGUGCUACAAUGGACAAUACAAAGGGCAGCGAAACCGCGAGGUCAAGCAAAUCCCAUAAAGUUGUUCUCAGUUCGGAUUGUAGUCUGCAACUCGACUACAUGAAGCUGGAAUCGCUAGUAAUCGUAGAUCAGCAUGCUACGGUGAAUACGUUCCCGGGUCUUGUACACACCGCCCGUCACACCACGAGAGUUUGUAACACCCGAAGCCGGUGGAGUAACCUUUUAGGAGCUAGCCGUCGAAGGUGGGACAAAUGAUUGGGGUGAAGUCGUAACAAGGUAGCCGUAUCGGAAGGUGCGGCUGGAUCACCUCCUUUCUAAGGA
rnacentral:rRNA from 2 species